GAGGCCUACCACCUCUUAUUUACC
rnacentral:tRNA from 1 species